UGUGACUGCGAUGAAAACCAUUAGGUGCGAACGAGAAAUGACUCGAUUCCAACGCAUCAAAGAAAUCCUUAGAUUAAUGAAAUUACGCAAGAAAACUCUGUUGAUACUUCUGUUUACAAUAUGUUUGUUGCUGUUUGUUGAUGAAAAAAACAUACUUGAUAGAAGUCAGCAACGGAUAUUCAGCAAGAGUAUGACGUUCAUAAGAUACAAUGGAAAAUAUAUUUCAACUGAGUUUGAACAUUUUUAUAUGAAUGUAUCACCCUAUAAACUGAUGGACCCUCUCAUUCACAAACAUCAAUACAGUACGCUACUAAAUACUGGUAAGGAGUGUAAAGAACAGAAUAAGUUCCUGUUAGUUCUUGUUUAUUCGGCAACAUAUAAAUUUGACGGACGUCAGAUAAUAAGGAAUACGUUUGGAUCGAUCUCACAUUUUGCCAAUAGAGAUAUUGAGUAUGUUUUUGUGCUAGGGCAAACUAAUAAUGAUACACUGCAAGGACAAAUUGAAAAGGAAAGUGUCAGAUACAGGGAUAUCAUACAAGGAAAUUUUAUAGACAGCUACAGAAAUUUAACAUACAAAAGAGUAUUUAGCUUGUUCUGGGUAAAUAAAUUCUGUGAAAAUGCGAUUUAUGUUAUCAAAAUUGACGAUGAUAUUACUAUUAAUAUUCCAUUUCUGAUUCCUUACCUUAACAAUAAGAUGAAUAAGAACAUCACAACUGCUUUAGAAUGUUUUACUAUUUUUGGAUCAAGGCCGUACCGUGAACCUCAUAGCAAAUGGUAUACGCCUGUCUCAGACUAUCGGUUUCCAACGUUUCCCCCGUUUUGUGCAGGACCAUCCUCCAUUAUGUCCAUUAAUGUAAUUAGACGAAUGUAUGACGCGACACGUAUUGUUCCGUUUUUUUGGCUAGAAGAUGUUUAUGGAAGUGGAUUUAUUCCCUGGAUUUUAAACAUAGAAAUAGUUCGGCCGAAUUGUUAUUUAAAGGAUGUGCAGGAAAGUUUCAAUGAAAAGCCAUGCCAUUUGUUUUACAUAAAUAAUUUAAAGAAUGCUAGUGAUUCAUAUAUGAUGUGGAAGACUAUAGAAACACAUAACAAGUUUAAGCAAAAUUGCAAGUGUUGGUAAAAUGAUGUUUCAUUCUAAACACCAGUUAAACCGUAUCCCCUUUCAAAAAGAAGAAAAUAAAUACAUAGAGGGAAGUGAUCACAAUCGUUUGAUUCUAUAUAAAAUGAAGAACAGGGGGUUUCAACAUGGAGUUUAGAAAAAGUUCCUGUAUUUCAUUUUUUUCUUGGUUGCUUUUUAUGAAGGUAAUAAAAAAAUGACUUUUCCUACGAAGAUGAAUGGUCGGUACCUUAGAAAAUCGUUCUAUCUUAUUAAAACAGGCUAAACAAUAGGCAAACACAGGAUUUUAAAAAAAUGAUUGAUUGUCGGUUGUUUGACAUCCAGUGGCCAAUAUUUCAUGCAUGUUCAUGACGAGAACAAAUUCCCAAUAAAUACAAUAGGUAGGUCAUGCAAUAGAGGCCAUCCGAAAUGAAGAUCGGGACAAUUUGCACUGCCACUGGAAAAUAUUGGAUAGGGACAGAAAUUUUGCCCUGCAACAGGACACCUCAAAGAAUUGUUGCAACGGAUCUUAACUCGCAGAUAGUGUGACACUCUCUCUACAUGAGGCAUCAGAUUUAAUGUCCCCAUACUGACCAGACGUGGCUGAGUACUUGUACAUCCCGCACAGCCAAACGGACGCCCCACUUUAUGGUUUUACGGCUGAUCGGAAGAAUACCUUAGUGACAAUAUUUCUAUUCCCUAGACAUCCACAGGGUGAUUUUGGAAAUGAAUAAUCUGGACUUGAACUAACUGUAAAAAAUACUCUUGUCAUAGACGUGAUGAAAAUGAAUAUUACCAAAUGCAAGACGACUUUGGAAGAUAUUGUCGUGUAUAAAAAGUGAAGAUAGUUUUCGCGCUGAAAAGAUAAUCCGUACUAUCAACCGGAAAAAAUAAUAUUCUAUCAGCAAACAAUCCCCACUCCCACUGAGAAUCAAAUGGUCCACUAAGGCUUAUAAAUUUUAUCAUGUGUUUAAAUGAGUAAUUUUGAGUUUUCGUCAUACAUGUCAUAUAAAUAGGUAAAUAACUUAAUUCAUAAAAUCAUUAUAAUCAUUUUUAUUCAAUAUAUGUAACUUCCUAAAAUAUUCAUAAUAAAA